GAAUGCUGACAUAAGUAACGAUAAAGCGGGUGAAAAGCCCGCUCGCCGGAAGACCAAGGGUUCCUGUCCAACGUUAAUCGGGGCAGGGUGAGUCGACCCCUAAGGCGAGGCCGAAAGGCGUAGUCGAUGGGAAACGGGUUAAUAUUCCCGUACUUGGUGUUACUGCGAAGGGGGGACGGAGAAGGCUAUGUUGGCCGGGCGACGGUUGUCCCGGUUUAAGCGUGUAGGUGUGUGUUCCAGGUAAAUCCGGUUCACUUUAACACUGAGGCGUGACGACGAGGCACUACGGUGCUGAAGCAACAAAUGCCCUGCUUCCAGGAAAAGCCUCUAAGCAUCAGGUAACAUCAAAUCGUACCCCAAACCGACACAGGUGGUCAGGUAGAGAAUACCAAGGCGCUUGAGAGAACUCGGGUGAAGGAACUAGGCAAAAUGGUGCCGUAACUUCGGGAGAAGGCACGCUGACACGUAGGUGAAGUGAUUUACUCAUGGAGCUGAAGUCAGUCGAAGAUACCAGCUGGCUGCAACUGUUUAUUAAAAACACAGCACUGUGCAAACACGAAAGUGGACGUAUACGGUGUGACGCCUGCCCGGUGCCGGAAGGUUAAUUGAUGGGGUCAGCGCAAGCGAAGCUCCUGAUCGAAGCCCCGGUAAACGGCGGCCGUAACUAUAACGGUCCUAAGGUAGCGAAAUUCCUUGUCGGGUAAGUUCCGACCUGCACGAAUGGCGUAAUGAUGGCCAGGCUGUCUCCACCCGAGACUCAGUGAAAUUGAACUCGCUGUGAAGAUGCAGUGUACCCGCGGCAAGACGGAAAGACCCCGUGAACCUUUACUAUAGCUUGACACUGAACAUUGAGCCUUGAUGUGUAGGAUAGGUGGGAGGCUUUGAAGUGUGGACGCCAGUCUGCAUGGAGCCGACCUUGAAAUACCACCCUUUAAUGUUUGAUGUUCUAACGUGGACCCGUUACCCGGGUUGCGGACAGUGUCUGGUGGGUAGUUUGACUGGGGCGGUCUCCUCCUAAAGAGUAACGGAGGAGCACGAAGGUUGGCUAAUCCUGGUCGGACAUCAGGAGGUUAGUGCAAUGGCAUAAGCCAGCUUGACUGCGAGCGUGACGGCGCGAGCAGGUGCGAAAGCAGGUCAUAGUGAUCCGGUGGUUCUGAAUGGAAGGGCCAUCGCUCAACGGAUAAAAGGUACUCCGGGGAUAACAGGCUGAUACCGCCCAAGAGUUCAUAUCGACGGCGGUGUUUGGCACCUCGAUGUCGGCUCAUCACAUCCUGGGGCUGAAGUAGGUCCCAAGGGUAUGGCUGUUCGCCAUUUAAAGUGGUACGCGAGCUGGGUUUAGAACGUCGUGAGACAGUUCGGUCCCUAUCUGCCGUGGGCGCUGGAGAACUGAGGGGGGCUGCUCCUAGUACGAGAGGACCGGAGUGGACGCAUCACUGGUGUUCGGGUUGUCAUGCCAAUGGCACUGCCCGGUAGCUAAAUGCGGAAGAGAUAAGUGCUGAAAGCAUCUAAGCACGAAACUUGCCCCGAGAUGAGUUCUCCCUGAGACUUAGAGUCUCCUGAAGGAACGUUGAAGACGACGACGUUGAUAG
rnacentral:rRNA from 2 species